UCCGAGUUGUCCCCGGCAGUCCUUCCAGAGUCCUCGCCUUGACGCGUUAGUAACUGAAAGUAAGGGUUGCGCUCGUUGCGGGACUUAACCCAACAUCUCACGACACGAGCUGACGACAACCAUGCACCACCUGUCUCAGUAUGUCCGAAGACACGAUGUAUCUCUACAAGUUUUACUGGAUGUCAAGACCUGGUAAGGUUCUUCGCGUUGCGUCGAAUUAAACCACAUGCUCCGCUGCUUGUGCGGGCCCCCGUCAAUUCCUUUGAGUUUCAACCUUGCGGCCGUACUCCCCAGGCGGAAUGCUUAUUGUGUUAACUGCGGCACAGAAGGGGUCGAUACCUCCUACACCUAGCAUUCAUCGUUUACAGUGUGGACUAC
rnacentral:misc_RNA from 1 species